CAGUAUGCCGUCAGCCUGUCCGUGCAUUUCGCUAGGUGAAGAGGUAAUGAAGGGAGCUACCUACAGAUGCCUACCAGUUUUGGAGGUAUUUCAUAGUUAUUAUUUCAGUUUACAAUUAGUCCAAAGCUUGUGUUUUGGUAGUGUACAGCAAAAAGUGAUGCAAGGAGUUUCAUUGGGAAUAUAUCAAGGCUGAUCAUGCUGAAGAAAAGAGGAUAAAUCGACAGAAAUGGAAGCUGGAUCGAAAGAGGUCUCAAGAAACUCCUGUUCAUAGUCAAAAACUUGCCUGUUUGAAUACUUGAACACUUUUCUAACCCUUUUAUGCAAACACUUCCCAAUAGAGUGAAAAGAUGUGACAGCAAAGAGUUUCACUGGAGUUUUUAAGGUCUGUGUUCACACCAACGUGAAUAAAAUCAUCGCACAGGUUUUCGAAAUGCAAAAGUCUUUAAAGUUCUGGAGCGAAGUCUUUAAGUUUCCAUUAGGACCAUCAUUGAUUGCAAUCCAUCCUCUAAAUACGCACGGUAAAAAAUAAUUUUAUGGCAUAUUAAGUCUUUAGUUUCACUUUAAUUGGUCUCUAUGAAAAAGAAUGACACCCAUUUUCUCUUUACGACUAAAAUUAAAAUUCAUUACCGAUAGAAAACAAAACCUUUCAAGACAUAAUUUAUUUCCACUUCCUGAGCUUCUCCCAUCGCUCCUGUUUUCAUCCAAUGAAAAUGGAGUGUCCAAGUGCACGACAUAUUGCCAAAAGUCACCAUAGAUUUGGGUGAUGUAUCUCCUGUCACUUUGUGCAUUAACGCUGUGACCUUUUCUUCCUAUUUCAGAAGCAAUGUGGCCCGAGCUGGUAAGAAAGAUGGAUACAGAGAGGAUGAAAUCUGUCACGAGGAAAGAAAUUGAGAAGGCGAUCUCUGCACUGUGUUGGUAGCACAUAAAAAAGCGCCACAAAUAACCCUGAAAUGCUAUCUGUAAUGUACUGAAGUUGCAGGGGGAAAAUGGACUUGGAGUGAUCUGGAGGAAGACGGAGGAGGAGGAAACAUUUGCGGACAGAAUGACAGUGAGAGAAAGAUUGGUUUAUCGGUGGAGGAUGGAUCGACCUCUUUCUUCCUUUGCGGUCUUUUGUCUGAGCUCUUACACAAUAGAUCAGGCCGAAAUGUGGAUUGAUCGCACUGUCGUUGCUGGUGUUAUCACCUUUUGAAUGGAUGUAAUAUUUGAUUCAGUUUGUUAUUCAUGGUCUCCGCUCUCUGCCAUUUGGCUCCACUGUCACUGUCGAUUCCUCUUGGACUGUCCUCACUGUCAUUAGCUGAAUUCAAUAUCAAAGAACGGGUUUUAAAGAAAGAUUAGAUCAAUUAUUCAGCUUUGCAGCAGCGCUCUGAUGUUUCCCUUUUUCUAUUAUUAUUAUUCUGUUUUUUUUUUUUCCCCCCUCUGUGUAACCUGGUACACUUGCUUGAUUAUAA